UUAGCCGUUCUUUUCCUUUUUCUACCUUUUUUAUGUAUAGCAUGUGGAUAUUAGGGUUGCAUUUUCCCUUUUUAGGACCCUUUUCCUCACGCGCGUAUCAAACUAUUCCCUCACUCACGUACGUGUGAUUGGUUGAUUGGAUGUAUGUUUACUUGUUUAUCUCGCGCUUGCAUUGCAUUUGGGAGGGGGUGUGUCACCUUUAGAGCCUCUCGUGGUUCUCAACCCCUUCCCUCAAAAUAGGAAAACACUUCAUACGUGCACGUUUACUUGCUUUUAUCCCAUUUUAUUUUAUUUUUCGUGGGCGUUUCCCACACCGCCUUGUAGGAUUAGGAUCGAUUGCCUUGGGUAGGCGCCUUGGGUAGGCGGCUGGUGUGCUCUGCGCCCAUAGCGCUACCUAAGGGAUCACUCGAGCCACCGAUCAAAGGCCCUGGGAGUGAUGACCCUUCGCCUUUAGGUCUGAAGGCUUGGGAGCCGAAACCUUAUCGAGUCUAGAUGCAUUAGUGAACCCCAGCCUCAUGCAUCCAUGUUAGAAUUUUCCUAGGUUAGAGUCAGCCUCACCCUAUUUUAAGCACAUUAGGCACGAGGGAAGGGGUUCCACCCCUCUUACUUGCUUUAUUGUAUUUCUUUUUCUUAAUUGCUCCCAAUAUGUUAUGUGUAUUACCAAUUGCACUAACCAUUCUUUUGUUUUCUUGGCUUGCAUUCAUAUGCCCUAGCAAUAAGAGGCCCUUUUGGCACUCUUUUAGUGACCUACCCACUAGAUAACUCACAUGUUUAAAUUUCAGUCAUUAUACUUAAUAAAUACAUUUCAUUUUAGACCUUUUUCCCCCCGAUGCAUUAUUUAUGUCCCUUAGGUCAUAUUUGUCACAUAUUUACAUCGCUUUAAUAAAUGACAUCAUGCAUAAACCCUAGAAAGGGAAUGCCAUUUAGGGGAUCCCGUGUCAGGAAUAAGCCACCUUGUGUCUCGGAUACUUAAUCCAGUGAGACUUGCACGUUUACAUUUUGUACCAUCCAAAGGGGGUAGUGCACAAGGUAAGGUAGGAUCCGAU
rnacentral:lncRNA from 1 species